rnacentral:lncRNA from 1 species
AUCUAUAUGAAAUUCAUUUUACUUUUAUUAAAGUAAGCCACUCGGGAAAAUCUUUCUUUUUCUUACAUUAGCAUUUCACUAAGAACACAUCACAAUUAAACAGCAUAUACACACUUGCAGAAAGAAUAGUUAGCUUAAAAUAUUUCAAGUUGUUUGUGUGUGUGUAUGUGUGUGCUUGGAUCUAUAUUAAAUUACAGAAACUCAGACAAAAAUCAUUCAAUUUUUAAGAUGAGACAUUCAAUAUAGUUUGGCCCUAAGUUGGACAACUGCUCAGUUUUUUCUUUUCAUGAUAAUAUUUUUUAUUAUUCAGUCUUACUUGAUACAUAGUGCCCACUUUCAAAGGAAGAGAUUUUUGACAACUUUAUCAGGCAUAUCUAUGUUCUGUCAACUGAUUUUAAAACCAAGAGUUGCAAAGUGUCAUCUUUGGUCCCCACCUCACAAUAUACUAACCUCAUUCAAUAUAAAUGUCACAAUAUUCAACUAAAUUUUGUUAUCACUUAGAUAUUGGAAACAAGACUUCAAAUUAGCAUAGAUACUGAGGACCAUUCACAGCACUAAAAAUAAAACUUUAUUUUGCCAUCUUUAUGUGUAGAAUGAAAAGUCUCUUGAGAGCCUAUCUUAAUCCCUUGUUCCCAAGAGAAAGCUUUACAGUUGUCUCAUCUGAUCAUCAGAAACAAGAAAAUGACAGCGCUGUAUGUUGACUGUUCUCUCACUGUACUGGUUUCCUAUGCUGCAUACAAAUUCGCAAAGACUUAGUAGUCUAGAACAACAUCCGUUUGUUAUCUCGAAGUUUCUGUAGGUCAGAAAUCCAGGUAGGCUCAACAGGUUCCUCUGUUCAGAGUCUCACCAGGGUGAAUUCAAAGGCUCAGAUGGGCUAGUCCUUUCUAGAGCAUCUGGAGAAGAGUUCGCUUCCAUGCUCAUUUAUGUUAUUGGCAGAAUACAGUUCCAGGCUUCAGCGGGACUAAGGUCCCCAUUUCCUUACUUGCUGUCAGUUGAGGGCAGAGGGGUGAGGGUAAGGCUCUGCUCCUUAAGGCCAAGUGCAUUUCUUCUAAUAUUGCUCUUUUUAUCUUCAAAGCCAGCAACGCGCAUCAAGUUCUUUUCACACUUCAAAUCUCCCUGACUUUCUCCUUCUUCCUCUGCAUGUUGGGGCCUGUGUGAUGCAAUUAGACCUACUUGGAUAAUCUCCCUUUUGUCAUAGUGCGGGGUCU